AAUCUUGGACAAUGGGGGCAACCCUGCUCCAGCCAUCCCGCGUGUGCGAUGAAGGCCUUAGGGUUGUAAAGCACUCUUGUCAGGGAAGAAAAGGCUCGGGCUAAUACCUGGAGCUGCCGACGGUACCUGCAGAAUAAGCACCCGCUAAAUACGUGACAGCAGCCGCGGUAAUACGUAGGGUGCAAGCGUAAAUCGGAAUUACUGGGCGUAAAGCGUGCGCAGGCGGUUCGGCAAGAAGGAUGUGAAAUCCCAGGGCUUAACCUUGGAACUGCAUUCUUAACUGCCGGGCUAGAGUAUGUCAGAGGGGGGUAGAAUUCCGCGUGUAGCAGUGAAAUGCGUAGAGAUGCGGGGGAAUACCGAUGGCGAAGGCAGCCCCCUGGGAUAAUACUGACGCUCAUGCACGAGAGCGUGGGGGGCAAAA
rnacentral:rRNA from 1 species